rnacentral:rRNA from 1 species
UACGGAGGAUGCGAGCGUUAUCCGGAUUAUUGGGUUUAAAGGGUGCGUAGGCGGACUACCAAGUCAGCGGUAAAAUUGCGGGCUCAACCCCGUCGAGCCGUUGAAACUGGCGGUCUUGAGUGGGCGAGAAGUAUGCGGAAUGCGUGGUGUAGCGGUGAAAUGCAUAGAUAUCACGCAGAACUCCGAUUGCGAAGGCAGCAUACCGGUGCACAACUGACGCUCAGGCACGAAAGCGUGGGUAUCGAACAGG